AAUGAACGCUGGCGGCGCGCCUAAUACAUGCAAGUCGAGCGAGAAGACGUAGCAAUACGUUUGUAAAGCGGCGAACGGGUGAGGAAUACAUGGGUAACCUACCCUCGAGUGGGGAAUAACUAGCCGAAAGGUUAGCUAAUACCGCGUACGCUUCUUGGACUUCGGUUCAGGGAGGAAAGCGAUGCCGAGGGUAUCGCGCUCUUGGAUGGGCUCAUGUCCUAUCAGCUUGUUGGNGAGGUAACGGCUCACCAAGGCUUCGACGGGUAGCUGGUCUGAGAGGACGAUCAGCCACACUGGCACUGCGACACGGGCCAGACUCCUACGGGAGGCAGCAGUAAGGAAUAUUGCGCAAUGGGCGAAAGCCUGACGCAGCGACGCCGCG
rnacentral:rRNA from 1 species